GACGAACGCUGGCGGCGUGCUUAACACAUGCAAGUCGAACGGAAAGGCCCUGCUUUUGUGGGGUGCUCGAGUGGCGAACGGGGGAGUAACACGUGAGUAACCUGCCCUUGACUUUGGGAUAACUUCAGGAAACUGGGGCGAAUACCGGAUAGGAGCUCCUGCUGCAUGGUGGGGGUUGGAAAGUUUCGGCGGUUGGGGAUGGACUCGCGGCUUAUCAGCUUGUUGGUGGGGUAGUGGCUUACCAAGGCUUUGACGGGUAGCCGGCCUGAGGGGGUGACCGGCCACAUUGGGACUGAGAUACGGCCCAGACUCCUACGGGAGGCAGCAGUGGGGAAUAUUGCACAAUGGGCGGAGGCCUGAUGCAGCAACGCCGCGUGCGGGAUGACGGCCUUCGGGUUGUAAACCGCUUUCGCCUGUGACGAAGCGUGAGUGACGGUAAUGGGUAAAGAAGCACCGGCUAACUACGUG
rnacentral:rRNA from 1 species